GGGCACAUGGUGUAGUUGGUUAUCACAUCCGCUUAGCAAUGACUUUUAAGUUACAACACUUUGUAAUGCGGGGGGUGCUGGGUUCAAUUCCCAGUGUGUCCA